rnacentral:lncRNA from 1 species
GCAAGUUAUCAAAACGUGGACAAGAAUGCAUUGGCAGGUAAGCUGCAGAAGGACAAGCAAGCUACUAUUCACCAUUGUAUAUCAGUGCAAUUCUGACGGCCAACAAACUGAACAAGAUUUUAAUCUAAUUUUCCCCUUGUUAGAUUUUAAUCUCAUCUCGGCUCUGGCUAAAGCAUUAGUUGUUGAUCUUGUUGAUGUGCAUAGGCAACUGUGGGAGAAAUGUUCAUGGUUGUUUGAUCAACAGGACUUUAAAGUUCCCCAAAUGUAAGAGCUCUCCCGUGCUACUGAUAUAUUUACAGAAAUCUAUUCAGGUGCAUUUUGUCCUACUGCCUGUAAACACACAGUCCAGUUCAUAGUGAAUGAUGACAGGUCCUACUGUAAACACACAGUCCAGUUCAUAGUGAAUGAUGACAGGUCCUACUGUAAACACACAGUCCAGUUCAUAGUGAAUGAUGACAGGUCCUACUGUUUGUAAACACAGUCCAGUUCAUAGUGAAUGAUGGCAGGUCCUACUGCCUGUAAACACACAGUCCAGUUCAUAGUGAAUGAUGGCAGGACCUACUGUCUGUAAACACACAGUCCAGUUCAUAGUGAAUGAUGACAGGUCCUACUGCCUGGAAACACACAGUCCAGUUCAUAGUGAAUGAUGGCAGUAAAGCAGGACCAACUGCUGUAAACACACAGUCCAGUUCAUAGUGAAUGAUGACAGUAAAGCAGGACCUACUGCUGUAAACACACAGUCCAGUUCAUAGUGAAUGAUGACAGGCCCUACUGUUUGUAAACACAGUCCAGUUCAUAGUGAAUGAUGGCAGGUUCUACUGCCUGUAAACACACAGUCCAGUUCAUAGUGAAUGAUGGCAGUAAAGCAGGACCAACUGCUGUAAACACACAGUCCAGUUCAUAGUGAAUGAUGACAGUAAAGCAGGUCCUACUGCUGUAAACACACAGUCCAGUUCAUAGUGAAUGAUGACAGGUCCUACUGCUGUAAACACACAGUCCAGUUCAUAGUGAAUGAUGGCAGUAAAGCAGGACCAACUGCUGUAAACACACAGUCCAGUUCAUAGUGAAUGAUGGCAGUAAAGCAGGACCAACUGCUGUAAACACACAGUCCAGUUCAUAGUGAAUGAUGACAGUAAAGCAGGACUUAUUGCUGUAAACACACAGUCCAGUUCAUAGUGAAUGAUGACAGGUCCUACUGCCUGUUAACACACAGUCCAGUUCAUAGUGAAUGAUGACAGGUCCUACUGUUUGUAAACACAGUCCAGUUCAUAGUGAAUGAUGGCAGGUCCUACUGCUGUAAACACACAGUCCAGUUCAUAGUGAAUGAUGACAGGUCCUACUGCUGUAAACACACAGUCCAGUUCAUAGUGAAUGAUGGCAGGUCCUACUGCCUGUAAACACACAGUCCAGUUCAUAGUGAAUGAUGACAGGUCCUACUGCCUGUAAACACACAGUCCAGUUCAUAGUGAAUGAUGACAGGUCCUACUGUAAACACACAGUCCAGUUCAUAGUGAAU